rnacentral:lncRNA from 1 species
CCUUCAAUGAUAUUGUUGGUCCUGGUUAUAGGCCUUCUUGAUUAUCCAUUCAUCUUGCCUAGAUAAGUAUCGUCAUCAACCUGUUAUGUGUUCUGUUCCCAGAAGGGGAAUGGAUCAAUGGAGGACUUGUUCUUGAAAAUUAUGUAAGUCCAAAUACACGGCAAAUUUUGAACCCGAUAACUCUUAAAAAUAUAGAAUGGACAUGACCACAAGGCUACC